GACGAACGCUGGCGGCGUGCUUAACACAUGCAAGUCGAACGGAAAGGCCCCAGCUUGCUGGAGUACUCGAGUGGCGAACGGGUGAGUAACACGUGGGUAAUCUGCCCUGCACUCUGGGAUAAGCUUGGGAAACUGGGUCUAAUACUGGAUAUGACCUUCCUCCUUAUGGGGUUUGGUGGAAAGUUUUUCGGUGUAGGAUGGGCCCGCGGCCUAUCAGCUUGUUGGUGGGGUGAUGGCCUACCAAGGCGACGACGGGUAGCCGGCCUGAGAGGGUGAUCGGCCACAUUGGGACUGAGAUACGGCCCAGACUCCUACGGGAGGCAGCAGUGGGGAAUAUUGCACAAUGGGCGGAAGCCUGAUGCAGCGACGCCGCGUGAGGGAGGACGGCCUUCGGGUUGUAAACCUCUUUCAGCAGGGACGAAGCGUAAGUGACGGUACCUGCAGAAGAAGCACCGGCUAACUAUGUG
rnacentral:rRNA from 1 species